GAUGAACGCUGGCGGCGUGCCUAAUACAUGCAAGUCGAGCGAACAGACGAGGAGCUUGCUCCUCUGACGUUAGCGGCGGACGGGUGAGUAACACGUGGAUAACCUACCUAUAAGACUGGGAUAACUUCGGGAAACCGGAGCUAAUACCGGAUAAUAUAUUGAACCGCAUGGUUCAAUAGUGAAAGACGGUUUUGCUGUCACUUAUAGAUGGAUCCGCGCCGCAUUAGCUAGUUGGUAAGGUAACGGCUUACCAAGGCGACGAUGCGUAGCCGACCUGAGAGGGUGAUCGGCCACACUGGGACUGAGACACGGUCCAGACUCCUACGGGAGGCAGCAGUAGGGAAUCUUCCGCAAUGGGCGAAAGCCUGACGGAGCAACGCCGCGUGAGUGAUGAAGGUCUUCGGAUCGUAAAACUCUGUUAUUAGGGAAGAACAAAUGUGUAAGUAACUAUGCUCGUCUUGACGGUACCUAAUCAGAAAGCCACGGCUAACUACGUG
rnacentral:rRNA from 1 species